rnacentral:rRNA from 1 species
AUUGAACGCUGGCGGCAGGCCUAACACAUGCAAGUCGAGCGGAUGAGAGGAGCUCGCUCCUCGAUUCAGCGGCGGACGGGUGAGUAAUGCCUAGGAAUCUGCCCAGUAGUGGGGGACAACGUUUCGAAAGGAACGCUAAUACCGCAUACGUCCUACGGGAGAAAGUGGGGGAUCUUCGGACCUCACGCUAUUGGAUGAGCCUAGGUCGGAUUAGCUAGUUGGUAGGGUAAAGGCCUACCAAGGCGACGAUCCGUAACUGGUCUGAGAGGAUGACCAGACACACUGGAGCUGAGACACGGUCCAGACUCCUAAGGGAGGCAGCAGUGGGGAAUAUUGGACAAUGGGCGCAAGCCUGAUCUAGCCAUGCCGCGUGUGUGAAGAAGGCCCUCGGGUCGUAAAGCACUUUAAGUUGGGAGGAAGGGCUUACAGCGAAUACCUGUGAGUUUUGACGUUACCGACAGAAUAAGCACCGGCUAACUUCGUGCCAGCCGCCGCCGCCG